rnacentral:lncRNA from 1 species
AAUAAUCAGAAAUUGUCUAAAUAUAUUGUAAGGCAGUAAGGGAGCCUGAGGCAUCCAAAUGUCUGAUCCUUGUCUCUGCAUUCUUUUUUUUUUUUUUUUUGCCCGAGAAUCCUGCCGUUGGUGAGCCAAAUUCCCUUAGGAAGAGAGAGCUUGUCUGGUGUGUUUCCUGUCAAGCAGCUGUGUGGGUGUUGGCUCAGCUCCCACAGAGCUCUCCUGGGAUCAGGAUUUCUCCUUUCCUAGCUGGUUCCUACUGCUAGGGGAGGAGAGGCUGGGAGGGGAGGACUGGGCUGUCUCCUGCUUCAGCCAACAAGAAGGAGUCUCCUCCAGGCUGGAGUGCAGUGGCGUGAUCUUGGCUCACUGCCACUUCCACCUCCCGGGUUCAAGUGAUUCUCCUGCCUCACCUUGCUGAGUAGCUGAAACUACAGGUAAUGCACUACACAAGCAGGCAGUUCUUAGAAUCAACACGUGAACAUUUGUGUGUAGGUUUCUGUGAAAUGGUACUUGGAAACUCUUUGUGACCAGCCUACUCAACACGUAGUUGAAGGAAACAG